AGCAUGUUUAUUGAAACAGGCUAUUAUUACACAGUGCUAGUACAGAAGUUUUCUAUAUAAGUAUGGAGAGCAAUGAGCGAAAUACUAAUCCCAAUUUUUUCCCUCUACUUAGUGUUAAAGGACUACUGUUACAAUUGGUUAGCUAGUACACAUCCCAACAAAGUGAACUAAAGUUAUGCUCUUAAUUCUGGUUUUAAAUCUUUUAAAAAUUUUCUAGUCUCAACCAUAUUUGUUUACCUACAAAUUAAUAGUUAUGUGAAUCUGCAGACUUACUUACUGUGCAUGGAUAAGUAAUAGAGAUAGAAACAUCCUAGCAUGUACAUUGGUGUGACAGAUACUAUACUAAAAGUCAGUGACCUCAGGGAUACAAAAAAAACAAAACAAAACAAAAAAAAAAAAAAAAAAGAAACCCAAACACCUCUAAUUUUGUAAGUUAUAGUUUUCAAAUUCAAACAAAGCUUUAAGGCUUAAAGGUGAGCUGAUUAAACUGUCAUGCUCUUCUUCUCUCCCUAAGAUACAGCAUUUCAGGAAGAGGUCAGAGAAUAAUGCAGAAUGAAUUAAAUGUUAUUCAGUUGGGUAAAAAACAUUUAAAAAAGGAAAAAUCCUAGUCAGUGAUUGAAUAGCUAGAUCAAGUCAAUCUGUUGUAUAAAACUUUUCCUGAAAAGAGAACAUUAAACUUGAUAUGAACUUCUGAAAUGUUCUCUUUCUAUAAAACAUUUAAUUUUCUCUUCAACAUUUCAGUAUCAUUUAUCUGGCAUAUUAUCUAUAAACUUAACAUCUACCUUCAAGUCAGCAGUUUUUAUAAACACCACUACUACAAAAUGCCUGAUGGAAACACAAUUUCAAUCACAGAUUUAAUGGAGACAUACAAAUAUUGCCAAAACAUAAUGAAAUUCUUGUGAAGCGAUAUGAUUAAAGUCUAUUGAUUUGAGCACCAAAAAGCCAUCCCCAAUGGGAGCAAAUUUCAGCUUGUAUGAAGUGAAGCUGAUAUUUAGAACAGCAUAUAGCCCAUGAAAAUAAACAUACAUCUGAAAGAUAUAAUGGAGUCUUGUUAUCACUGAAUUGCAUCCCAACUGACUUUUUGAAAGAAACUUCUAAACGCUGCAAUUCCCUGGCAUCAAUUCCUCAACAUCUUGAUUAAAAAUUUAUUACUGUACUUCUCUAACUAUAGGAAAAGAGAAAGACUGCGAUCCACGUCAGAGGUUUUAAAAUUCUGAUGUUUUGGAACUCUUCUACAAUGCUUUUUAUGCCUGGAAUUCCAACUACAGAAUAGCAAGGAUAGAGAGCCUGAAACAUAUGGAGCUUGUUUAAAGCAACAAAAUGAUUUUUCCAUCAAUUCAGCCAUAGUGUCACAAUCUAGUCAAGAGGUAUAGGCUAAGAAACUUUUCCUUGUAUGUAUUCCUAUUUGCCAACUAAUCAAUUGCUUUUCACAUUAUUUCAUGGAACUUCAGGGUUACCACAAGGAAAUGAGAAGGGUUCCCUGAAAUAAACUGGUCAGAUACAUGUUUUCAGUGUCUGCUGGGUUCCCAUUUCAGAUCAGGAACUGGAGUUCCAAGACAUCAAAAAGGAGCUAAAAGGAAUAAAUAUACCACUCUAAAAAUAACUACCUCAAAUUAAGGAUUAAUUAAAUUUUCAUAUCUCUAGAGUAAGAAAGGAUUUAAGAAAAAUGCUAAUAAGGUUGUAUGUGAUUUGAGUCUGUUCUUUAAAAAAAAAAAAAACAACUUAAAUACCACCCUCUAUGUACAACAGGAACGAACAAUUAAUAAUUAUGAUUAACCUUGAUUAUUGGCAGGUGAAUAAAGUCAAGGAUUAGUCUCGAUAUCUAAAGCAAGACAAGAGAAAAUUAAAAGACAUUUUUCAU
rnacentral:lncRNA from 1 species